GUAAACUACCUUUCCCACCUUAGCAACAGUCUCUUCCUCCCCUCCUCUUGCAAACGGCAUAUUUACCAUAUGUAGAAAAGUUUAAGUCUUAGCCAAUAAUUGGGUUAGAUUGUUCAGUCCAACUCAAGCCAAUGGGGAGAGGACACAGUAACAGGAGCUGCGUUAGGGAUAAAAACUUUUCUCUCCUUUGUUUGGUAUGCUCUUGCAAUCAGACGGAUGCAGGCAGCACCCUUCUGCAGAAGUAAAUGUGCCUUGCUGAGAAAUGUUCUGUCUAAGUGCUGGCUUUUCUUUGAGGCACUGAGCACUUGUUUCUAACAAAAUGGGGGCACAUCUGGGAUCCCAUUCUCCUCCGGAGAAGGGUCUCCAAUCAUCUCUUGUGAGGAGACGUGUCUCACUGCAGCAGCCUCAAGAAUGAGGGAUUGAGACCCACCAGCAUGAUGAAUAUACCGAGACUCUCAGCAACAUGGAAGGAAAAGGCCUACAGAUGCCAUGGUGACCAAGUAAUUCUGUGCACAGACCAAGCAUGGGCAAAAGGGCAAGACCCUGUAUGCCCAAGAAGAAAGUGGAGAAAGAGAAGAGCAACAAGGAAAGGGAAGGUGCCUUAGCUCAACAGGCUGCUGGCGGACAUGGAGAGGAAGCCCCAGAGAAGCAUGUGGCGGACAAGCAAUGAGAAGCAUGCUGUGCAGCCUCAGGAAGCCCACAGCAGGCACUACUGAUGCAGGAGAGGCCAUGAGCCAGGAAAGUAUAAAAGAAGGCUGGAGACACCACUUCUGUAGUCUACUUUUGGCUUUCAUUGAACACGGUGGAGAAUUCAGAAUUUUUCAUUUUCUACCAAGAAAGCUGACAGAGGAAGAUGUUUCACAAUUAUGAGACUAAUCACAACAUGAAGGCACACAGCCGUCAGGACUCUAGACUCUACUGAUGAUGAUGAAAUUGAUCAUAUAAGUGAAAUCUCAGAGCGUGAGUCUUUAUAUAACAAAAUCCUGGCUGGGCACAGUGGCUCAUGCCUGUAACCCAGCACUUUGGGAGGCCGAGGCGGGCGGAUCAUGAGGUCAGGAGAUCGAGACCAUCCUGGCUAACAUGGUGAAACCCCGUCUCUACUAAACAUACAAAAAAAUUAGCUGGGUGUGGUGGCACGCACCUGUAGUCCCAGGUACUAGGGACGGUGAGGCAGGAGAAUCGCUUGAACCCAGGAGGGGGAGGUUGCAGUGAGCCGAGAUCGCACCACUGCACUCCAGCCUGGCAACAGAGUGAGACUCCGUCUCAAAUAAUAAUAAUAAUAAUAAUAAUAAUAAUAAUAAUAAUAAUAACAACAACAACAACAACAACAAUAAUAUCCUAGCUGAAUUUUCUCAAAUCAAAGAAUUAAUGGGUGAACAAAAAUAUAUCUUUAGAAAUGUAUCUCUAGAUGAAAAUGCAAUAUAGUAUUCUCAUCCAGUUUAGUCAUUUGACUCAAAGUAUCACACAAUGUCAUCACAUCUUGUUUUGCUAACAGGACUUGUGAUAGUGUUCUUUCAUCUUUAUUUUCAUCUAUUAUGAUACAAAUAAUUUUGCAAUGUUUAAAUUCUUUUAUAUACAUGAAAUAUUAUUCAGCCUUUAAAAAGAUGGAAAUCCUGUUAUUUGUGAUAACACAAAUGACCCUGGGGGACACUGUAUUAAGUAAAAUCUGCCAGGCACAGAAAGACAAAUACUGUAUGAUCCUGCUCCUAUGUGGAAUCUAAAAAAAGCUGAACUACAGAGAGUAGAGUAGCAGUAGCCAGGGGCUGAGAGUGCUGGUAAUGUGUGUGGAAUGGAGAGAUGGUGGUCAAAGGGUACAGGUUUCAGUUGUGCAGGAUGAUUACGUUCUGGAGAUCUAACGUAGAGGAUGGUGACUACUGUUAAUAAUACUGUGUUGUAUUCUUGAAAUUUGCUAAGAUAGUAGAUCUUAAAUAUUCUCAUCACACACGUAAAAAAUGCUAACUAUGUGAGGUGACGAAUGUGUUAAUUAGCCUGACUGUAGUAAUCAUUUCACAAUGUAUAUAUACAUGUAUUAAAACAUCACAUUGUAUACCUUAAAUAUAUACAAUUUUAUUUGUCAAUUUUAUCCCAAUAAAGCUAGAAAAAAAUAAAAAUAAGAAUUUUAAACAACUUUAUUCAAGCUUUGGAUCUGCUAAACUAACAAGUCAAUUUACUUGGCAAAAACAAUUUGACUAAAUGCUUGUCUUUGUACUGGUGAAAAUAAAUUAGUGAAUCGGAAAGCAUCUUUAAAGUUAUUUGUUCAUCUUUGUCCUCUCUUCACACCACAUCAAUCUAAUGUAACAGUACCCAACUCUUAAAUAGAAGGAAUGCCUAGUAAUUAAAGGUGUAAAGAAUUUGAUUGAAAGCUUAUGUUAUAUCUUUAACAUUGCGUUGAAAACAUUCAAUUAAUACUGAUGAUGAUUUCAUUUUUCUUCACUUUUCAUUGGAAAGUCAAGAUGUUUGUAAAUACAGAUUACUGAUGACAGCAAUGAGUUAAAUCUGCUCAUAAAUUUGUGUCAGUGUAUUUUGACAGGUAGAAUGUAUUGUAUAUCUAACUCCCACUGUACAUAUUUGUCUGUUUUUCCCAAUUUAUAAUAAUCCCAAAAAGGGUGCAGUAAGGGACAUACUGAUUCUAUAAUAUGUUUUUGUGUUUUCAUUUAUUUUGUAGACUCAUUUCCAAUUUAGUUAUACUACAAGCUUUGCCAUGAUUUAUGGUUAUAACUUGUUUGUGUUUGGAUAUAUAUAUUUCUAUCUGCAUACAAAGGCUCUGGUUAAUGCAGCCUGAUGUUUCAAAACUAAAAAAAAAAUCUUAUUAAAGUUCCUAGUAAAG
rnacentral:lncRNA from 1 species